rnacentral:rRNA from 1 species
UACGAAGGGGGCUAGCGUUGCUCGGAAUCACUGGGCGUAAAGGGUGCGUAGGCGGGUUUUUAAGUCAGGGGUGAAAUCCUGGAGCUCAACUCCAGAACUGCCUUUGAUACUGAAGAUCUUGAGUCCGGGAGAGGUGAGUGGAACUGCGAGUGUAGAGGUGAAAUUCGUAGAUAUUCGCAAGAACACCAGUGGCGAAGGCGGCUCACUGGCCCGGUACUGACGCUGAGGCACGGAAGCGUGGGGAGCAAACAGG